GUCAUAUGUUUGACAUCCAAUAGCCGAUGAGAUCUAGUGAUGUCGUUAAACAAAACAAACUUUGGUAAAAAUUAAUAUACUUCAGACAUUUUUGGAUAUAUAUAUAUGUGGAUGAAGGAGAAACAACGUUCGAUGUGUGGGGAUUUUUAAAACCCAUAAUUACGACUAUCAUUAAAGUGCUAUACGUGCCUUAGUGGGAACAUUUUAUUACUGUUUCUCGUUGGACUUUCAUGUCAACUGACGUCGCGUUGGAAUUAGUACAGAAUUCUUGGAAAUCUGUUGACGAAGUGAACUAAAAAUAUCUAGGAUGGCUGGAUACACGGCACAGGCUGUUGGCUCUGCGAUGGAACGGACUCAAAACGUCAAACAAUGGGCAUACCACAGAACCCUGGAAAGGACAUCGUACGACUACAUACUAAUACCAGACUGUUUCUAUGACAGUAGUGAUGAAAUAGAGGUUCAGUCUUCGGAGGAAAUCUUACUCUGGAUUUGAAAGAAAGAAAGUCUGUGCUCCACUCAAAUCUGACCACAGCUUGGAUAACUUACUGGCUGACAUUGGACGGAAACUGAGUAAUGUCUCACGGGACAGUCUUGUUAGUAAUAUGGA